AUUGAACGCUGGCGGCAGGCCUAACACAUGCAAGUCGAACGAGUGGCGGACGGGUGAGUAAUGUCUGGGAAACUGCCCGAUGGAGGGGGAUAACUAAUGGAAACGGUAGCUAAUACCGCAUACCCUCGGAUGUGCCCAGAUGGGAUUAGCUAGUAGGUGGGGUAACGGCUCACCUAGGCGACGAUCCCUAGCUGGUCUGAGCGUAGGAACAGCCACACUGGAACGUAGACACGGUCCAGACUCCUACGGUAGGCAGCAGUGGGGAAUAUGGCACAAUGGGCGCAAGCCUGAUGCAGCCAGGCCGCGUGUAUGAAGAAGGCCUUCGGGUUGUAAAGUACUUUCAUCGAGGAGGCGUUACUCGCAGAAGAAGCACCGGCUAACUCCGUGCCAGCAGCCGCGGUAAUAC
rnacentral:rRNA from 1 species